rnacentral:rRNA from 1 species
CCCUUAGAUGUUCUGGGCCGCACGCGCGCUACACUGAUGCAUUCAACGAGCCUAUCCUUGACCGACAGGUCCGGGUAAUCUUUGAAUCUGCAUCGUGACGGGGAUAGAUUAUUGCAAUUAUUAAUCUUCAACGAGGAAUGCCUAGUAGGCGCAAGUCAUCAGCUUGCGUCGAUUACGUCCCUGCCCUUUGUACACACCGCCCGUCGCUCCUACCGAUUGGGUGUGCUGGUGAAAUGUUCGGAUCGGCCGUUUGUCGCGGUUUCCGCGGCUCGUGGCUGAGAAGUUCAUUAAACCCUCCCACCUGGAGGAAGGAGAAGUCGUAACA